GUCAAACAAUACUAUCAUCAAUCCAGUUACACCCUCAUCUACGUAACUUCAUCUUCUACCAAACAAAAAGUGAAUUUCCUUCAUUUUUAUUCCAGCUUUUCUAUUGGAUAUAUUUUCCCCCACCACCAAACACAAUUAAUGAAUUCAGUACAGAGUCAUUUGCAUCUAAUUAUACUCAAAACAUUUCAGAUGAGCUAUGUUUGUAAUACAAAAGAAAUGCAACAAUUAAUUCCAAUUUAAGGCGUUAAGAUGGUUAAAAAGGAAAAACUUGCAAGGGCCAGGGAUCAGAAUCAAGCACGAAUAACAGUAAAUCAUCUGCCCAAUCAAUUAACUAGAAAAGCACAAACUUGGGUUUAUUAGAGAACUACAAAUCCCUAUGAUCACUCUCACCCCUCGCUUAUAAAUACCAUACAGCAGAAUUAUGUAUUAUGGUACAUCUUACAGGAAAAAGGAUAGCAGAUGGAGGACUGCCUGAAUCUUUUUGGACUAUGAUACACAAUGAAGGUCAAAGCACUGAUCAGACCAGAAAGGUGAUAAUAACAUAGGCGGGUAAUGACACAAGAGGGACAUUGUUAUAUCAAACCACUGAUUCACAGGAUUAACCACCAUUGCGUUCUCCGGCCCUCCUAGCACCAAGUCUUGCCAUAAAUAUAUGUUUUUUACCUGUUAACAAGAGAAAGAUUCGGAGUCAGGAAUAAUCAUCCAGCAAAUUAUCAUGACUCCACUCUCUAUUCUUAUUAAUCCCUGUAUUUGAUUCACAGAAUGUUAGCAAUUCUCUAUGAGACUGGCUGUAAGAUCUAAGAUUGUAAAAUUCUUCAGUCAAAUAUAAUUUCUCCAGGCCGUGAACCUUCAAUCAUCAGGCAAAAGAAACUCGCAGACAACUAUAAAACCGAUUGUAGGACAAAGUAUGAAAUGCAAUCAUGUGUAGGAGGAGGAUGGACAUUUUUUUAUUCUUUACAGUCCUUCAGAUUUCUUACUUCUUAGCCAGUCUGAGAGAGCUGCCUCCAAUUCAUUAUCUGGUGAGAUUGUGGAUGCCUCUGCAAAUAAGAACUUGUUCCAAUUCCACUUUCAUCGCCAGCAAACUGCUCCGAGUAACUAGCAGUUGGAGGGGACCAGACUGGAACCACACCUCCAUCUCUCUCUCUCCUACUGCUACUACUUGAAGAUUCUGCUGUUGAAUCUUCGAAAUUUCUCAGACCACUGACAACACUAAAAUAUGGCAAAUUGUUGUUACUACGAGUAGUUUGAGCUGCCCCCUGGUUUAAAAUGUCUCUUCUUUGUUCUUGAUUGACAUUUACAUUUCUUGGCACCUCUGCUCUGCUGUCUUCUGCUACAUUUUGAAGAUAUGAAGAAGUUUCUUGUUCUUCAACUCUUAGCAAAGAAGAAGUCAUGCUAGGGACCAUCUGAUCCUCAUAACGCCUAAUUGUAGUAGGAAGGUUAUUUCUUACAGGUUCACGAUUUUCUUCCAUUUGUAUGUCUUGAGGGAAAGCAAUUGGAGCUGAUUCAGAUGAAUCUCCAAGCCCUUCCUCAGUCCCAUUCUCAAUGGCAGCUCUUGAAGCUGCUUCUUGCUGCCACAUUUCUGAAAGUGCUUCUAGCAACCUGCCUUUAGCUGCAUCUAUCCCUACAACUGGGAGAGGAUAAUUUGAUCCAAGCUCAAUUCCAGCUGCUUGGAGUACGGAUUCAGGUGCAUUCCAUGGAUGAUGUAUCCAUUCAGUUGGUAGCCUGGCAAGUUCUGGAAGCCACCGUCUCACAUAUUCUCCAUGCGGAUCAAAUUUGUAACCCUCAAACUGUGGAUUGUCUAUGCGAUCAAACUCACGGCCAUCAGGGAGAGUGCCGGAUAUGUACUGCCAACCAAGAGCAUCACUCUCUAAAUCAGCAUCCAAGAGGGUAUCCCAGAAAUACUUCAUUCCCCAUCUCCAUGGAAGCUGUAGAACUUUCACAAAGAAACUAGAAACUACUACUCGUAUUCGAUCAUGCAGCCAACCAGUAGCCCACAACUCUCUCAUUCCAGCAUCAACUAAUGGAUAACCAGUUCUACCUUGUCUCCAAGCCUUAAAUAAUCCUUCAUCUACAACCCAAGGGAAAAAUUUGAGGUGCCCAAGAAGAGGCUGUUCGUGACUGUAAGGAUGGUUAAAACUCAUGUAUCUUGAAUAUUCUCUCAGACCAAUUGACUUAAGAAACAAGUUUACACUCUCUUCGCCGGCCUUGUUCCCUUCAUUUGCCCAAAGAACCUGCUUGAUGCGAACAAGGUGAAGGACCUUUCUGACACUAACCUCUCCAAAAUGCAAAUGGGGAGAAAGAAAAGAGGUUGUAGCACUGUCAGCCUUCCUACGAUUCUUUGAGUACUCAAUUAGUGGGCCAUUGAUGAAUGCAGUCAAAGCCUUAUCAGCAUUACUCCACCCAGGUGACCAUGCUCGAGCAAGCAGUGCAUUGCUUCCCUUGUCUGAUUCAUCUUCAAAUAUCAAUAAGUCUGAAGGGCAUCUCGAUAUAUCACCUGAAAUAAUCCUCUUUGGUGGGAGAAGAGGAGCCUCUGGAUCAUAAGGCAUGCUAAGGAAUCUUUCCCAAAAGGCAGCAAAGGUAGUGAAAGGGCGUCCUUGGUCAUCAUUAACGUCCCACGGUUCAUAAAGCAAAUCUGCAUUGAAGGAUCUUACAGCUAUUCCUUGAGCAGUCAAAAUCUCCUUUGCCCGGUGAUCCCUAACCAGUGACAAAGGGUCUGGAAAACAGUAACUUGCCGCUCAAAGAUGAAAUUCAAGAUUUUCUCAUUGUCUCCUAAACUAUAUAUAAUAGGAAUUUCAAGAAUUCACUGAAGCAAAACUUAAUUUCAAGAUUUCUCCAUUCUUAACUAAUUCAGGCUGCACUAUAGUAUGACAAGAUCACAAAUAGAAAACCACCAAUCAUGGGGUUGCAUUGCUGUUGAAAAUAGUAUGUCUCAAAAUUAUUAAAUUUUUUAAAAUUAAAUUUAAAUAUAAUAUAUUUAAUAAAAAUAAUUUUAAAUUAGUAAAAUAAAUUUAUGAAAUUAUUUUUCAAUAAUAUUUAAAAAAUAAAUUUUAACCUCAAUCUCAAUCUCAAAUCAGAAAUUUAUCUGAGCCCAAUUCUUAGACAGUUUAUGUCAUAAUUGAAGCAACUACUGAAUCAUCAAUCAGUUAAUAGGAAAAAAAUGGAAGUCAAGUUUAUCCAAUCCAUCAAAAUAAACUUCUUGCGUAACUGAUGCAAUUAUUUAAGUAUUUCAAAGACACAACAAUGCAAAAAAAAACAGGAAAAGAUAAAAUAAAAUAUCAAAAUAAACAAAACCCAAAAAGAAGAGGAUGGAAAGUCAGAGGAAAUAAAUAUAUUAUAUUAUGAAGGUCAGUCCACAUGAACAUGAUCCACAAAUCCCAUACUACAAAUAGUAAUUAAAUAGAUUCUGACACUAACACAACAUACAAAGAAGGCCCUAAAGAACAGAUGGAGAGACUAACCAUACAAGUGGUUGAAGAAGAGAUUGGUAGCCCCAGUAGACUUGACAACCUCAAGAAGAGUAGAAACACUAUCAGUUGAUCUCUUGGUGACAAGAGUAGUUCCAAGGCUCCUCAAAGAAGAAUCCAAAUGAGCCAAACUCUGCUUGAGCCACCACCUUGAGACCCUACCGGGGUAAUAAUGGCCUUCCUCUUCGGGUGCCCAGAUAAACACUGCAACAACGGCACCAGUUCUUACACCAGCUGCAAGUGCUGGGUUAUCCUCUACCCUCAGAUCUCUCCUGAACCAGACUAUGCUACGCCCACCUGACAUCUCCCGAAACUCUCUCUCUCUAUAUCAGCUCUAUACCAUAUCUGUCUACCUUUCUCUUCUUUUCUUUUCUUUUUUCUGAGGCUCCCAGAGAAUUUUAAUUAGCAAUAUUACCUUUUCUACUUCUGCUCACACCAUUCAAUUUAAGAGAGAGAAUUUAGACCAUAAGCAAUAAAACACAAUUGAUUUUGGAGGGUAGGUAUGGAUUUUGCAAUUAUCUUUUACUUGAUUACUAUUAUAUCUCACUCAUAAUUAUUUUGCUCAAUGCAUGGAUGAUAAUUUU
rnacentral:misc_RNA from 1 species